CUACGGGUGGCUGCAGUAGGGAAUCUUCCGCAAUGGACGAAAGUCUGACGGAGCAACGCCGCGUGAGUGAUGAAGGUUUUCGGAUCGUAAAACUCUGUUGUUAGGGAAGAACAAGUACGAGAGUAACUGCUCGUACCUUGACGGUACCUAACCAGAAAGCCACGGCUAACUACGUGCCAGCAGCCGCGGUAAUACGUAGGUGGCAAGCGUUGUCCGGAAUUAUUGGGCGUAAAGCGCGCGCAGGCGGUCCUUUAAGUCUGAUGUGAAAGCCCACGGCUCAACCGUGGAGGGUCAUUGGAAACUGGGGGACUUGAGUGCAGAAGAGAAGAGUGGAAUUCCACGUGUAGCGGUGAAAUGCGUAGAGAUGUGGAGGAACACCAGUGGCGAAGGCGACUCUUUGGUCUGUAACUGACGCUGAGGCGCGAAAGCGUGGGGAGCAAACAGGAUUAGAUACCCUUGUAGUC
rnacentral:rRNA from 1 species